rnacentral:rRNA from 1 species
UACAGAGGGUGCGAGCGUUAAUCGGAAUUACUGGGCGUAAAGCGCACGUAGGUGGCGACGUAAGUCGGGUGUGAAAGCCCCGGGCUCAACCUGGGAAUUGCAUUCGAGACUGCAUUGCUGGAGUACGGAAGAGGAGGGCGGAAUUCCCGGUGUAGCGGUGAAAUGCGUAGAUAUCGGGAGGAACAUCAGUGGCGAAGGCGACUUCCUGGCCUGUUCUUGACGCUGAGGCGCGAAAGCUAGGGGAGCGAACAGG